GAUGAACGCUGGCGGCGUGCCUAAUACAUGCAAGUCGAGCGAACGGACGAGAAGCUUGCUUCUCUGAUGUUAGCGGCGGACGGGUGAGUAACACGUGGAUAACCUACCUAUAAGACUGGGAUAACUUCGGGAAACCGGAGCUAAUACCGGAUAAUAUUUUGAACCGCAUGGUUCAAAAGUGAAAGACGGUCUUGCUGUCACUUAUAGAUGGAUCCGCGCUGCAUUAGCUAGUUGGUAAGGUAACGGCUUACCAAGGCAACGAUGCAUAGCCGACCUGAGAGGGUGGUCGGCCACACUGGAACUGAGACACGGUCCAGACUCCGACGGGAGGCAGCAGUAGGGAAUCUUCCGCAAUGGGCGAAAGCCUGACGGAGCAACGCCGCGUGAGUGAUGAAGGUCUUCGGAUCGUAAAACUCUGUUAUUAGGGAAGAACAUAUGUGUAAGUAACUGUGCACAUCUUGACGGUACCUAAUCAGAAAGCCACGGCUAACUACGUG
rnacentral:rRNA from 1 species